rnacentral:lncRNA from 1 species
UGCCAGUGCCUAGUGGAACUGUCCACCCAGCCAGCCACUGUGUGUUAUGGUUCUGCAACCACCAGGGAGGCAGCCCGAGGUGAUGCUGCUCACCGCGCCCUACAGUACCUCAGGAUCAUAGCAGCCUGGGGAACACCAAACCCUGUAUCAUAAGUUUCAGCUGAAGGAGAGAUGGCGGCUGGGUGGAUGGGGCAGCAGGAUGUUCACUCACUGCAAAGACUUGGUCUUCACCCCAGCUCCCUGCCUCUUCAGUGUGGCCCCAAUUCAGCAGCAGCAGUAGCAGCAGCAGCAGAGCAGCCCACUUGGAGUCCAUGCUGCCAUCUGCCUCCUGAGUGCCCACGGUCUUCUUAUACCUGAUGUCCCUACCCCCACCUCACCGGCAGCCUGGGGGGAAAUCUAGAC